GCCCUCGUGGCGAAAUAGGUAGACGCAGUAGACUCAAAAUCUGCCGAUCGCAAGGUCAUACCGGUUCGAGUCCGGUCGAGGGCA
rnacentral:tRNA from 1 species